GCCAGAAGGUGCAAGACGCAUCACGGAAGCUCAGCUUGCUCAUGAAAUCCUCCUCCCGGCCCACCAGGAAGGUCUCAAGCGAUGCCUGUUCUGCAGAAGGUUGUCCCAGCUAUGGCCUUCAGGAGCUCUUUCAGCUGGUUUCUAUGUCCCUUUGACACAUCUCCACCAUUGACCUACACCAAACCCUUCAAGUGGGCAGAUCCUUUGUGAUCCAAUGCCUUGUGGAGACCCUCCCAACACUAUUACAGUGGGGACCAAGCCUCCUCGUGCGUUUCGAAAAGGACAAACCAGGCCAGAACUGGAGCAUUUGUUAUUCAUCGAUUUGUUCCACAAAUAUCCAUUGAGCUUCUACUGUGUGCCAGGCACUGUUCCUCCAGCUGUAAAUACCAAAUAAAGAUCUCU